ensembl:lncRNA
GCCUAAUCUUUAACCUACAUGAGAUGUGAUAGCAGACAUAAGGAAUAUAGAAGAAAAAGGUCAGUGAACGUGGACAGACAGGUGAUCGCUGUCACCUUUCCUCUGGCCCCAGUUAGAGUAAAGAAAUCAGCUACCAGUGCCUCAGUUGGCAAAAAUGACUACUGUUUCUAUGGAAAACAAAAGGAAAUUAUACAGGAAUCAAAAGCCAUUGUGAGGUUUUAAGUGUGUUGUGGUGCAAUGAUACUUCCUUUUAUUGCAAUUUGGAGACUGGAUCAGAGGCAAGUCAGAAUGCUUUUUAUCAGUCAAGGAACUGUUGCCAGCAUCCAGGUGAGAUGAACUGAUGCAUAUACUGGAAAGAUGUGUAUAAAUUUUAUUUAUUAUUAUUAUUAUUGGGACAGAGUCUCACUCUGUCAUCCAGACUGCAGUGCAGUGAUCUGAUCUCAACUCAAUGCAACCUCCACCUCCCAGGCUCAAGCAAUUCUCCUGCCUCAGCCUCCCAAGUAGCUGGGAUUAAAGGCACGCACCACUGCUGCCCAGUUAAUUUUUGUAUUUUUAGUGGAGACAGGGUUUUACUAUGUUGGCCAGACUGGUCUCAAACUCCUGACUUCAGGUGAUCUACCCACUUCUGCCUCUCAAAGUGCUGGGAUUACAGGCCCACGCCACCAUGCAUGGCUAAUUUUUAUAUUUUUAGUAGAGACGGGAUUUCACCAUGUUGGCCAGGCUGGUCUUGAACUCCUGACCUCAAACGAUCUGCCUGCCUUGGCCUCCCAAAGCGCUGGGAUUAUGCGUAUAAAUUUUUAAAUUGUGUAGGGGAUAGACUGGAUUACAUAUGAGGCAUGAGGGAGAACAAGGUAUCAAGAAUGGCACUUAUAUACCAGGAUAGGGUGAUUUUCUAAGAGGAUAGAAGCUGGUGUACCAAUUUACAAGUCCAGACUCUUUCCAUUGUAAAAUAACCAUAAACACAUCUGCUUAGAGAGAGAUACUUAGAGAGUUUACUUAGAGAGAGAGAAUCCAGCACACUGCUUGACUAGGUUUGCAACAGGUUAUUUCCCCCCUUUAUGUUUGCAAUAAACGUCUACCUUUAAACAUCAUAACCAGAGCAUUUCCUUUAAGCAUUUUCCAAAAUAUGUGUUACUGGGAUAGAAAACAAUACAAAGUUGUCCUGAUGUACACUUAGACACUUGGUCAAAAGUAUACAAUUGUUCUAAGUUUCAGAUAUAUUCUUUCCUAUGGUAAAUAAAUAUUUCAAUGUUAACCAGGUAUAUUUUGUGAACCUGGUGGACAGAACUACUUAAUAUGAUUGUACUUUUGGAUAUCUGGUAGGGUUUUUCUCAUUGACCAAAUUUCUGGGAGCUUAUUAGUGGGUGUGAAAGGUAAGAAACAAAGGAAAGGUGUAGUCAGCCAAAGGCUGGUUUUUAUUUAGCGGGUCCUAUUUUUGCCUCUUCUUUUCACACACUGCAGAUCCCUAAGACAGAUAUAACUAUACCAAAAUACCUAUUGUGUUUUGCAGCUGUGUGAUGGAUGCUUUGCUAGUUAUGGAUUCACAAAUACCAUGUCUUAGCUUAGCUAACAAGGCCUUUUUUUUUCUUAAAUGAAGCAGAAUAGUUAAGUGAAAGCCCCUUAAUUUGAGCAUGAGCGCUCCAUUCCAAUUAAGCCUGAAGAAUCAAAGAAAAGAGAGCUGAUUUCAUUUUUUUUUUUUUUCUAAAGUGAAAAGUAGGCAGCACACUAAAAGAUGAAAAUGGUACAGUGGCAUCUGCAAAUCACACAUUUUUAUUCAGAACUUAGGUUCAAUGUGAAAAACCCCAAACUACGGUAUGAAAAAAUAAAACUUACACACAAUUUGUUAUUGUAUUAAUAAGUAGAUGAGACAGACAUUAGCCAAUGCAUUUUUAUUUACCUUAAAAUUGCAAAUGCCAAAAGCAAUCAAUAGCACCAUUUCAUUAUUGCCAUGCUGUGCAUGGCAACAUAAUAUCUGUGUAUGAUUACUGUCACUUUUAUUAACAUUUCCUCUGACCGCAUUGAUAUAGAAGGCACCAUUUCUAGAAACCAUUUUACUAUUUGAGGAAUGCAAGUCUACAGUCAGCUGUUGCACCCUGCCGCCUAUAUUGCUGACUUUGUCCUAUUAAUUACUGUUGGGUCAAAUUAACCAAAGAUGUUAGUCAAGAUAGGCUGGGAUAGGCUGGAGAAAUAUAUUUACUUUGAGGUCUCAGACAUUUUACACAGUAAGCUAUAUG